rfam:Otolemur garnettii contig015208, whole genome shotgun sequence.
GUGCUCGAUUUGGCAGCAUAUAUACUAAAAUUGGAAUGAUACAGAGAUUAGCAUGGCCCCUGUGCAAGGAUGACAUGUCUGUCUGUUUUGUUGGAAUAUGAGGAUGUUUUU